rnacentral:rRNA from 1 species
UACGAAGGGGGCGAGCGUUGUUCGGAUUUACUGGGCGUAAAGGGCGCGCAGGCGGCUUUGUUUGUCAGGCGUGAAAGCCCCGGGCUUAACCUGGGAACUGCGUUUGAUACGGCAGGGCUAGAGUUCGGGAGAGGAGAGUGGAAUUCCCAGUGUAGAGGUGAAAUUCGUAGAUAUGCGGAGGAACACCGAUGGCGAAGGCAAUCCCCUGGGCCUGCACUGACGCUCAUGCACGAAAGCGUGGGGAGCAAACAGG